CGGAUCUUGGGCCAGCAGAAGGCGGCUGAGCAGCAGCAGUGGCCCGUCCUCGCCCGCUGCCGUCGCGCUGCCGCACAGCGGCCCAAGCAGUUAGCAGGAAGUGCAGAGAAAAAAAUGACCCAACAUCCAUGGUUAUUGGGGUCUUCCAGAGCAGACAGAAAAUGGCUCAUUACCAGAAGGAGAAAAAAAGAACUUCACGUUGGCACAUCAUCAUCCAUACUUGAUUACUGGCCUGGGUUCUGAACUCUCCUGAUAUUGCUGCUGAGAGUGGAGGUGGUUCAUG